rnacentral:rRNA from 1 species
GUCGAGCGGUAGCACAGAGAGCUUGCUCUCGGGUGACGAGCGGCGGACGGGUGAGUAAUGUCUGGGAAACUGCCUGAUGGAGGGGGAUAACUACUGGAAACGGUAGCUAAUACCGCAUAACGUCGCAAGACCAAAGUGGGGGACCUUCGGGCCUCAUGCCAUCAGAUGUGCCCAGAUGGGAUUAGCUGGUAGGUGGGGUAACGGCUCACCUAGGCGACGAUCCCUAGCUGGUCUGAGAGGAUGACCAGCCACACUGGAACUGAGACACGGUCCAGACUCCUACGGGAGGCAGCAGUGGGGAAUAUUGCACAAUGGGCGCAAGCCUGAUGCAGCCAUGCCGCGUGUGUGAAGAAGGCCUUCGGGUUGUAAAGCACUUUCAGCGGGGAGGAAGGCGAUAAGGUUAAUAACCUUGUCGAUUGACGUUACCCGCAGAAGAAGCACCGGCUAACUCCGUGCCAGCAGCCGCGGUAAUACGGAGGGUGCAAGCGUUAAUCGGAAUUACUGGGCGUAAAGCGCACGCAGGCGGUCUGUCAAGUCGGAUGUGAAAUCCCCGGGCUCAACCUGGGAACUGCAUUCGAAACUGGCAGGCUAGAGUCUUGUAGAGGGGGGUAGAAUUCCAGGUGUAGCGGUGAAAUGCGUAGAGAUCUGGAGGAAUACCGGUGGCGAAGGCGGCCCCCUGGACAAAGACUGACGCUCAGGUGCGAAAGCGUGGGGAGCAAACAGGAUUAGAUACCCUGGUAGUCCACGCUGUAAACGAUGUCGAUUUGGAGGUUGUGCCCUUGAGGCGUGGCUUCCGGAGCUAACGCGUUAAAUCGACCGCCUGGGGAGUACGGCCGCAAGGUUAAAACUCAAAUGAAUUGACGGGGGCCCGCACAAGCGGUGGAGCAUGUGGUUUAAUUCGAUGCAACGCGAAGAACCUUACCUGGUCUUGACAUCCACAGAACUUUCCAGAGAUGGAUUGGUGCCUUCGGGAACUGUGAGACAGGUGCUGCAUGGCUGUCGUCAGCUCGUGUUGUGAAAUGUUGGGUUAAGUCCCGCAACGAGCGCAACCCUUAUCCUUUGUUGCCAGCGGUUAGGCCGGGAACUCAAAGGAGACUGCCAGUGAUAAACUGGAGGAAGGUGGGGAUGACGUCAAGUCAUCAUGGCCCUUACGACCAGGGCUACACACGUGCUACAAUGGCAUAUACAAAGAGAAGCGACCUCGCGAGAGCAAGCGGACCUCAUAAAGUAUGUCGUAGUCCGGAUUGGAGUCUGCAACUCGACUCCAUGAAGUCGGAAUCGCUAGUAAUCGUAGAUCAGAAUGCUACGGUGAAUACGUUCCCGGGCCUUGUACACACCGCCCGUCACACCAUGGGAGUGGGUUGCAAAAGAAGUAGGUAGCUUAACCUUCGGGAGGGCGCUUACCAC